CUCCAAACCCAGGAGAUGCUGGAGAUGGCUCGCUCUCCCAUGAUGGAGUUCAGCUUGUCCAGGCUCUGCUCACAGUGACAGACCUGGGAAACAGUGUGAGGCAAAGCUCCAGGCUGUGAUCUCCAGGAGGAAAACAGCACUGGAAAUUCACUUCUCCCUUCUUAGAACUGGAGUGUGACUACAGAGCGAGAGAAUGCUUGGAACUUUGUCUGCUGUUUGGAGAGGAUUGAAGUAAAACAAAUAUUUUUGUAAUAAAAAUUUAAUAUCCUUUU